AGGAACACGUCACUUCCUGUUUCUUUAGGGGAACGUGGCUUUCACCGCUGCGCCUGACCCUCCGUCUGCGUUCUUGCUGCAGCGGCCGGAGCUGGAGUCGGAGCCCGAGCGCAGCCUAGCCAUGGAUUCGGCCCUCAGCGACCCGCACAACGGCAGCAGCGAGGCCAGCAGACCCACCAACGGCACCGCGCGGCCGCCGUCCACGCCCGAGGGCAUCGCGCUGGCCUACGGCAGCCUCCUGCUCAUGGCGCUGCUGCCCAUCUUCUUCGGCGCCCUGCGCUCGGUGCGCUGCGCCCGCGGCAAGAGCUCCUCCGACAUGCCAGAAACCAUCACCAGCCGAGACGCCGCCCGCUUCCCAAUCAUCGCCAGCUGCACUCUCCUGGGGCUCUACCUCUUUUUCAAAAUAUUCUCCCAGGAGUACAUCAACCUCUUGCUGUCCAUGUAUUUCUUCGUGCUGGGAAUUCUGGCCCUGUCCCACACCAUCAGAGGGAAAAGGAACACCUACCUACCAGGGCAGCUAAAAAGUCCCUUCAUGAAUAAGUUUUUUCCAGCCAACUUCCCAAAUCGUCAGUAUCAGCUGCUCUUCACACAGGGCUCUGGGGAAAACAAGGAAGAGAUCAUCAACUAUGAGUUUGACACUAAGGAUCUGGUGUGCCUGGGCCUAAGCACCAUCGUUGGCGUCUGGUACCUGCUGAGGAAGCACUGGAUUGCCAACAACCUGUUUGGCCUGGCCUUCUCCCUUAAUGGGGUAGAGCUCCUGCACCUGAACAACGUGAGCACUGGCUGCAUCCUCCUGGGCGGACUCUUCGUCUAUGACGUCUUCUGGGUAUUCGGCACCAAUGUGAUGGUGACGGUGGCCAAGUCCUUUGAGGCACCAAUAAAAUUGGUGUUCCCCCAGGAUCUGCUGGAGAAGGGCCUUGAGGCAGACAACUUUGCUAUGCUGGGACUUGGAGAUAUCGUCAUUCCAGGGAUCUUCAUUGCCUUGCUGCUGCGCUUUGACAUCAGCCUGAAGAAGAACACCCACACCUACUUCUACACAAGCUUCGCCGCCUACAUCUUCGGCCUGGGCCUUACCAUCUUCAUCAUGCACAUCUUCAAGCAUGCCCAGCCGGCUCUCCUGUACCUGGUCCCUGCGUGCAUCGGCUUUCCUGUCCUGGUAGCACUGGCCAAGGGAGAAGUGGCAGAGAUGUUCAGCUACGAGUCCUCGGCGGAAAUCCUGCCUCAUACGCCGAGGCUCACCCACUUCCCCACAGUCUCGGGCUCCCCCGCCAGCCUGGCCGACUCCAUGCAGCAGAAGCUAGCUGGCCCUCGUCGCAGGCGCCCGCAGAAUCCCAGCGCCAUGUAAUACCCAGCGGGUGCCCACCUGCCCGCUCCCCCCACUGUCCCAAGCCCAAGUUAUGAGGAGUCAAAUCCUAAGGAUUCAGCAGCUGCGACCGAAUCCAAAGAGGAGGCAACAGAGGCAUCGGCAUCGAAGAGGCUAGAGAAGAAAGAGAAGUGAGGCGCUGCUCCUGACCCUUGAGGGCCAGACCAGAUAGUGGGACCUGCAGUGACCUGCAGGGGACACAGGCAGAGGACUCCUGCAGGAGGUGAAGGCGGCUUCAGGAUGGGGGUGGGCCUCUGCAGCCUUUUUCCCUCCCCCCUUCCUUGGCCUCCCCUUUGCUCCUCAUUCCCUGCAGGCAAAGGAAACCCUCAGCUUCCUCUUUCCCCAGGAGCCAGGUGGGAACUGGGUGUGGAUUUUUGAUUUUUGUAUUGUGGACUGACUUUUCCUCACAUUAAAAACUCAUCCCAUGGCUGAAGGGCCUGCUGUGCUCUUCCAGGGUUCUAAGCAUCUUCA